CUGGCUGUAGCUCAACGGCAGAGCGCCUGGUUUGGGACCAGGAGGCCGCAGGAUCGUCCCCUGCCAGCCAGACCG
rnacentral:tRNA from 1 species